AUUGAACGCUGGCGGCAGGCCUAACACAUGCAAGUCGAGCGGUAACAGAGAUUAGCUUGCUCAUCUGCUGACGAGCGGCGGACGGGUGAGUAAUGCAUAGGAAGUUGCCCAGUAGAGGGGGAUACCAGUUGGAAACGACUGUUAAUACCGCAUGAUCUCUUUGGAGCAAAGCAGGGGACCUUCGGGCCUUGCGCUACUGGAUACGCCUAUGUGGGAUUAGCUAGUUGGUGAGGUAAUGGCUCACCAAGGCGACGAUCCCUAGCUGGUCUGAGAGGAUGAUCAGCCACACUGGGACUGAGACACGGCCCAGACUCCUACGGGAGGCAGCAGUGGGGAAUAUUGCACAAUGGGCGAAAGCCUGAUGCAGCCAUGCCGCGUGUAUGAAGAAGGCCUUCGGGUUGUAAAGUACUUUCAGUUGUGAGGAAGGUUGUGUAGUUAAUAGCUGCAUAAUUUGACGUUAGCAACAGAAGAAGCACCGGCUAACUCCGUG
rnacentral:rRNA from 1 species